rnacentral:rRNA from 1 species
UUUUGGGAGCUCACUGGCUUCGGAGUCAGGACAACUCCAAAAUUAAGUGAGUUGGGACAAGAGCAAUCCCAGGAUGGGUGACCCACUGGGAAGUUGCUCAUGAGCUCCCAGAAA